rnacentral:sRNA from 1 species
AGCAACGAGGUGAAUGACAUGGGAGACAGACCUGGGGUCUUUUAGGGACGGAAAGCCUCAGCCAAGACCCAGACUCCCAGGGUCAUCAACCUCCUCGGGUCACUAACCCUCCCCAGUGUCUGUCUACCCCUAAGUCCAGAGAACACGUCCUCUCUAGGCUCGAGCCGGAAUCAAUAUAGGCUACAAGGGCAUCAGUUCAGGCUGCCCGGAGGAGAGAAGGAAGUGCUGAUGUGGAGUCCUCCCUCCCCCUCCUCCUUCACCCCCAAGUGUUUCCCACGACUGCCCUCCCCCACCUCUAGCUGACCAUGGCAUCAGAGGCAGAGAAAACAUUCCAUCGGUUUGCUGCGUUUGGAGAAUCAUCAAGCAGUGGCACUGAAAUGAACAACAAGAACUUCUCCAAGCUGUGCAAAGACUGUGGCAUCAUGGAUGGCAAGACAGUCACCUCCACGGAUGUGGACAUCGUGUUCAGCAAAGUCAAGUGAGGAGCCAAAAAUAUGGAGGUGGGGGUGAGAAGAACCUGCGAGGUAGUUGGCCACGGAAGGGUUCAUGUGGUGGAACAUUUGCAGUGGGCCUACCAAGCACCACAGGGUACCUGGCGCUGUGCUAUUCUUUGUCUUCAAGACACUCACUGAUUGAUAGGACAAAAGAGGCCAAAUCUGAGUGAUGCAAGAGUUGGACCUUGGAAGGUAGUGCAUUCAUGCUCCAAAGUUUCUGGAUUUCUGUCUAACUGAC